rnacentral:rRNA from 1 species
AUUGAACGCUGGCGGCAGGCCUAACACAUGCAAGUCGCACGAGUGGCGGACGGGUGAGUAAUGUCUGGGAAACUGCCUGAUGGAGGGGGAUAACUACUGGAAACGGUAGCUAAUACCGCAUACCAUCGGAUGUGCCCAGAUGGGAUUAGCUCGUUGGUGGGGUAACGGCUCACCUCGGCGACGAUCCCUAGCUGGUCUGAGAGGAGGACCAUCCAAACUGGAACUUAGACACGGUCCAGACUCCGACGGGAGGCAGCAGUGGGGAAUAGUGCACAAUGGGCGCAAGCCUGAUGCAGCCAUGCCGCGUGUAUGAAGAAGGCCUGCGGGUUGUAAAGUACUUUCAGCGGGGAGGCGUUACCCGCAGAAGAAGCACCGGCUAACUCCGUGCCAGCAGCCGCGGUAAUUC